rnacentral:lncRNA from 1 species
UUUCUUUUAAUAAAACUUAUGUCUCAAAUUUUUUUCUAAACUUCUAAUUCUUUUUCUUUAACUCUUAUAAUUUUGCGUCUCCUUUAGCAUAUUGUCGCUACCGUGGCCUUAGCAAUAGAUGACCAGUAAAUCUAACAAACUUUCUUUCUUACUAUCCAAAGUCGGAUUUUUUUCUACAAAAUCUAAAUCUUGGCCCCUCUGAAUCUUAAUUCCUGC